rnacentral:rRNA from 1 species
GUUGAACGCUGGCGGCAGGCCUAACACAUGCAAGUCGAACGGUAACAGGAAGCAGCUUGCUGCUUUGCUGACGAGUGGCGGACGGGUGAGUAAUGUCUGGGAAACUGCCCGAUGGAGGGGGAUAACUACUGGAAACGGUAGCUAAUACCGCAUAACGUCGCAAGCCCAAAGAGGGGGACCUUAGGGCCUCUUGCCAUCGGAUGUGCCCAGAUGGGAUUCGCUAGUAGGUGGGGUAACGGCUCACCUAGGCGACGAUCCCUAGCUGGUCUGAGAGGAUGACCGGCCACACUGGAACUGAGACACGGUCCAGACUCCUACGGGAGGCAGCAGUGGGGAAUAUUGCACAAUGGGCGCAAGCCUGAUGCAGCCAUGCCGCGUGUAUGAAGAAGGCCUUCGGGUUGUAAAGUACUUUCAGCGGGGAGGAAGGGAGUAAAGUUAAUACCUUUGCUAAUUGACGUUACCCGCAGAAGAAGCACCGGCUAACUACGUG